AAAGCAGGCCAAAGGCUUGGAUUGGCCUGAAUGACAUUUGCAAGGAGGGAAAUUUCACGUGGAUUGAUGGAUCUUUGUACAGUUAUAGAAUGUGGGGUAACAAUGAACCUAAUAAUGAUAGAGGCAAAGAAGACUGUGUGAACAUUCAUCGUUUCAAUGACUCAACUUGGAAUGAUGAGCCCUGUGACGAGAAAUAUGGUUUUGUUUGUUCUUACAAACUGUGUUGAAUUUAGAAAACUCCAGAUCCAUCUACUCAUCAUUUCCAGCGGUAGAUUCGGUGCUCAGAUUUCUUUGUAGCUGCUCUCACUGUCUGUGGUGACCGUACGCAUUUAAUUUCUCAGCCAGUAAUAAAGAGAACUGCAUCCUGA